CAUUACACAAAUAUGAAGGCGGGCUGGAACCUCUCGGGGUAACAGCCUUGCUGAAUUAUUCACCCUUGUCUUUUGCGUACUUCUUGUUUCCUUGGUGGGUUCGCCCACCACUAGGACAAACAUAAACCUUUUGUAAUUGCAAUCAGCGUCAGUAACAAAUUAAUAAUUACAACUUUCAACAACGGAUCUCUUGGUUCUGGCAUCGAUGAAGAACGCAGCGAAAUGCGAUAAGUAGUGUGAAUUGCAGAAUUCAGUGAAUCAUCGAAUCUUUGAACGCACAUUGCGCCCUUUGGUAUUCCAAAGGGCAUGCCUGUUCGAGCGUCAUUUGUACCCUCAAGCUUUGCUUGGUGUUGGGCGUCUUGUCUCUAGCUUUGCUGGAGACUCGCCUUAAAGUAAUUGGCAGCCGGCCUACUGGUUUCGGAGCGCAGCACAAGUCGCACUCUCUAUCAGCAAAGGUCUAGCAUCCAUUAAGCCUUUUUUUUCAACUUUUGACCUCGGAUCAGGAGGAUACCCGCUGAACUUAAGCAUAUCAAUAAGCGGAGGA
rnacentral:rRNA from 1 species